rnacentral:rRNA from 1 species
CAAGUCGAACGAAUCCCUAGGGGCUUGCUCCUAGGGGAAAGUGGCGAAAGGGGCAGUAAGGCGUGGGUAACCUACCCCGGGGACCGGGAUAGCCUUCCUAACGGAAGGGUAAUACCGGGCGAUGUCGUGGCCGCGCAUGUGGCCGCGAUGAGAUGAAUUUCGCCUCGGGAGGGGCUCACGUGGUAUUAGCUUGUUGGUGAGGUAACGGCUCACCAAGGCCGAGAUGCCUAUCGCGUGUGAUAACACCACGACCCGCGCCACUGGCACUGAGACACUGGCCAGACUCCUACGGGAGGCUGCAGUCGAGGAUCUUCGGCAAUGGGCGCAAGCCUGACCGAGCGACGCCGCGUGUGCGAUGAAGGCCUUCGGGUUGUAAAGCACUGUCGAGGGGGAGGAAGCCGAAAGGUUGACCUAUCCCUGGAGGAAGCACGGGCUAAGUUCGUGCCAGCAGCCGCGGCAAGACGAACCGUGCGAACGUUGUUCGGAAUCACUGGGCUUAAAGGGCGCGUANGCGGGCUGUCAAGUCCGGGGUGAAAUCUUUCGGCUUAACCNGAAAAGUGCCUUGGAAUACUGGUAGUCUUGAGGGAGGUAGGGGCAUAUGGAACUUCCGGUGGAGCCGGUGAAAUUGCGUUUAAUUUCGGAAGGGAACGCCGGU